GCCCAGGUGGCGGAAUUCAGACGCACCAGAUUCCUAGGUUCUGGCGCCGCGGAGGCGGGGGUUCGAGUCCCUUCCUUGGCACCA
rnacentral:tRNA from 1 species